rnacentral:misc_RNA from 1 species
GGUUAUGGCUAGGAACCUAAAUUAACACAGUUAUUGUAAAUGACACUGCAUUACAAACGCUGGCAUGGAUCCCCUUAACUGCCUGUUUAAUAGGGUCAUUACAUCCCAGAUUACCAAUCAUUUCAGCCUCCGAUUUAUUUCUGGGUACCUGAGUUGGAGGCUAUGUAAGAUUGAUAAAACAAAAGACAAGAUGUAUGUCCUGUGGUGAUCAGCUUCCAUCACUAGUGUGGUAUUCCUACGUGCCCGUUAAGUAUAUAUACCCCAAGCCCGAUACAUAUAGUAUACCCCAAGCCCGAUACGUAUAGUAUACCCCAAGCCCGAUACGUAUAGUAUACCCCAAGCCCGAUACGUAUAGUAUACCCCAAGCCCGUUAGGUAUAGUAUGCCCCAAGCCCGUUUAGUAUAGUAUGCCCACAUGCUCCAGCGAUUAACACCCAUCACUAAGAUUCAAGCACCGGGGUUGUUUUUCGCAUCAAAUGAGUUCAGAACAUUGGUCUUUUAAUUGAAAAAUACAGAUUCCAGUCAUUGGAAUAUAUUAUUGAUAGAUUGCUAAAUUUAUUUGAAGUUAAAAACAAAACCAUUUAUGCUGACAAUGUGUUUACUUAACCUGAGAAAAAUCGGUAAAGAUGAAAUGUAUGUGUAUGUAUUUAUUAUGUACUAUGGUAUCAUUUAGAAGAUGUCUGUGCUGUGUCUGAAUUAGAAAUUCAUAGCGUGUGUUAUCGUUGUACUUUUUUAUAUCCAUUAUUAUUUAUGGUGCUACUUUGACAAAUGUUUUAUUAAUAUUUUUAUAUAGUCCGCUAUAGAAAGUGUUUAUUGUCCGCAAAUAAAAAAUAUGGAAUAUAUU